rnacentral:rRNA from 1 species
AUUGAACGCUGGCGGCAUGCCUUACACAUGCAAGUCGAACGGCAGCACGGGAGCAAUCCUGGUGGCGAGUGGCGAACGGGUGAGUAAUAUAUCGGAACGUGCCCGGUCGUGGGGGAUAACGUAGCGAAAGCUACGCUAAUACCGCAUACGAUCUACGGAUGAAAGCGGGGGAUCGCAAGACCUCGCGCGAUUGGAGCGGCCGAUAUCAGAUUAGGUAGUUGGUGAGGUAAAGGCUCACCAAGCCGACGAUCUGUAGCUGGUCUGAGAGGACGACCAGCCACACUGGGACUGAGACACGGCCCAGACUCCUACGGGAGGCAGCAGUGGGGAAUUUUGGACAAUGGCGCAAGCCUGAUCCAGCCAUGCCGCGUGCAGGA